rnacentral:SRP_RNA from 1 species
GGAAGUUGGUGCCGGACGUUUGCCUCGCCAACCGGGUCAGGUCCGGAAGGAAGCAGCCCUAACGAGUUCCAAGCGGGUCGGUGUCCAGCUUCCCAC